UUGGAUACCCCAAAAUUCUUAAGCUUGAGAACUCUCGAGACCUCGACCCAUUUGUUCAACCAGUAAGCCUGGGACGGUGACCUGGCAUUCCAGCUACCUUUGAUCGACGGACCACCGGCGUUAGGAUCAUCUCGACGUCGCGACCAAGCCUAUGGCUUGGGUUUCGGUUUCCACCUACGAGCUCCAACGAAUCCAAUUCGAAGCCAAGAAGUUUCUUUUGUUCCGGCUGUUUUCUUGAGUUUUCCGGCGACUCCGGUCACCGAUGAUGACAUGCAAGAUUGAGGAUUGAUGAUGGGUAUGUUAAAUUUACAGAACUGGUGAAAAUGAUGGAGAUGGUGAACCACGGGAGAGUUUUCUUCAAUUGGUUGUUCUGUGUCGUAGAGGUGAAGUAGCAGCAGCUCAAAGACAUUCAUUUGAUUUUUGUAAGUAAGAUGAGUUGGAAAUCAUGUUGACAAGGCUUUGGGUUUAUAAGUAAAUUGCAAUUGUUCUUGACAGUAAGCGAAGUCGAGUUGAGGGAGAAGAAGAAUCGGUGCUUCGACGAGUUUUCCUGAAACUGGAAACGUUAAGAUAAUUUCCAGAUCAUAAACGCAAAUACUUGGUAGAGCUAUGAUCAAAACAUGAUUGUUAAUUAGAGUGUGGUGUUUUGUACAUGAUCAAGUCUUGAGACUCGAACCGAUUACGUUGUGAACUUGGUUUUGGUGCCGAAAUAGAAUGAUCACUGUGUAUCGUUGGAGGCACACUGUGGAUUGAACCACUUCUGUACGCGUGGCCACUGAUGCCAGUACUGGCUUCGGUGUUUGGUUUGAUUGCAGCAAGGGAGAGUCUUGUUGGGCUUGAAUCAAAUUGGAAUGAAGAUUGAGUAAUACAAUUCAACUUGAUAAGGUACUGUGUACGAAGACGGGAUAGCUAGACGAUGUUGGGUGUGGCUUAAUUACAUUAUAUUUCAAAUUAUGUCAUCGACGGAGUUUGUUCUACAUGAUAGGUUUCCUUAUUUUCCACUUUCUCGUAAAACUUGUUUGACGAGUUUCGAUUGGUUGUAAAUUAUAUUUCUUGUAAAUUCAUCGUACUUUUGACUUUGAACCGAAUUGCUAUUCUUUAAAGGCUCGCUCCCAAGUUCGAAAAAAAUUUGAUUUCAUAAUUUUCACCUCACUU